AACUGAUACUACCUGCGGGAACCUGCGGAAGGAUCAUUAAUGAGAAACUGCCCCUCGCGGGUAGAUCUCCCACCCUUUGUAAACUUACCUUUGUUGCUUUGGCAGGCCCGUCUCCGGACCGCCGGCUUCGGCUGGCCAGUGCCUGCCAGAGGAUUCUAAAACUCUGUCUGUCAGUGUUGUCUGAGUCUAUAUACAAUCGUUAAAACUUUCAGCAAUGGAUCUCUAGAUCGGAAGAGCACA
rnacentral:misc_RNA from 1 species